rnacentral:rRNA from 1 species
GACGAACGCUGGCGGCGUGCUUAACACAUGCAAGUCGAACGAUGAAGCCGGAGCUUGCUCUGGUGAAUUAGUGGCGAACGGGUGAGUAGCACGUGAGUAACCUGCCCUUGACUCUGGGAUAACUGCUAGAAAUGGUAGCUAAUACCGGAUACGACCCUCGGAGGCAUCUUCAGGGGGUGGAAAGAAUUUCGGUCAAGGAUGGACUCGCGGCCUAUCAGCUAGUUGGUGAGGUAAUGGCUCACCAAGGCGACGACGGGUAGCCGGCCUGAGAGGGUGACCGGCCACACUGGGACUGAGACACGGCCCAGACUCCUACGGGAGGCAGCAGUGGGGAAUAUUGCACAAUGGGCGCAAGCCUGAUGCAGCAACGCCGCGUGAGGGAUGACGGCCUUCGGGUUGUAAACCUCUUUUAGUAGGGAAGAAGCGAAAGUGACGGUACCUGCAGAAAAAGCACCGGCUAACUACAUGCCAGCCGCCGCCGUAA